rnacentral:tRNA from 1 species
GCCUGAGUGGCUCAGUCAGUUGAGUGUCUGACUUCGGCUCAGGUCAUGAUCUCACGGUUCGUGAGUUCGAGCCCUGCAUCGGGCU